CUAAAACUUGAUUUUGGGAUAAACGCAGCUUGGCAAUAAAUGAAAUGAGAGUUAGCCAUUGUUGAAUUUAGUUGUUCUCAUGCUUGAGGACAAGCAUGAUUUAAGUGUAGAGGAAAUUGAUAGGUUGUUAAUUGUUAGUAAUUUUAUUGUUAAUUCUCCUCUUUAUCCUUGCCAAAUAUUGCUUUAAUUGUCAAUAUAUAUUUAUAUUUGGCAUUUGGAUAUAAUUU
rnacentral:lncRNA from 1 species